rnacentral:rRNA from 1 species
UACGGAGGGUGCAAGCGUUAUCCGGAUUCACUGGGUUUAAAGGGUGCGUAGGAGGGUAGGUAAGUCAGUGGUGAAAUCCCCAAGCUUAACUUGGGAACUGCCGUUGAUACUAUCUAUCUUGAAUGUUGUGGAGGUGAGCGGAAUAUGUCAUGUAGCGGUGAAAUGCUUAGAUAUGACAUAGAACACCAAUUGCGAAGGCAGCUCACUACACAAAUAUUGACUCUGAGGCACGAAAGCGUGGGGAUCAAACAGG